GGAGAGGUGGCCGAGUGGUUUAAGGCAGCGGUCUUGAAAACCGCCGUGCGUGAAUAGCGUACCGUGGGUUCGAAUCCCACCUUCUCCGCCA
rnacentral:tRNA from 7 species